UGGGCCUCGGGCCGUGCUUGGCUUGAGUCCUGGCUCGCUGAACUUUUACUAGCUGCUACUUUGUUGAUUCACUGGUUUUCAGUUAUUUCUAACUUUGACACGCAUGUGUUAAUAUAUAAAAGGUUCCUUUCUGGCCAUGUUGAAACCCUUGUGUGCCUUGGCAGGAAUUUAUGUGGAAGGUUUCUGUGGAAGGAGGUGAUCUCUGGCAGGUGAAGAGUCCCAGAGUCCAGAACAGACACCCUGACGCUCCGGCUCACCUUCUGCCCAUCCUCUGCACUGUGUGAGGACAAAGGCAGACCUCGUCACCCACCAGCUGGCCAUGGCGUUCUCCUGGUGAACAGACAUGCCUGGACCGUCGGCCUCACUCAGGGCCAUGACAUGACCAGGAGGGAGCAAGACAAAAACAGCCCCAACCAGUUAGCAUGUCUGGGCAGGGACAAAAUACAGACCUCGUCCACACCACAGGGUACCAACCAGCCCCCUCUCUCAGCCCAUCUAAGUGACUGCUGCUUCUUUACAAAUGGCAGCUGUAGUCUUGUUCAAAAGCUCCUGUAGGACACCAGUCAUAGAAUUACCCCUGCCUGGCAACGAAUAAUCUGGAUGAAAUGACUGCUUCUUUACCCACCCACAAACUGAACAAACAUGAGUGCAAAUCCUUUGAGAAGGCCCUUCUGACACCUUCUUACCGAAAUGUUCCCAAGUUCCGUUUUGAAACUCAUCUCUAGAUAAAAGGAGUAAUAAAUCCAAUAUUUGUUCAUUUACAAGCAUGUUUCUGAGUCUUUUGCUGGUGAUCACUGAUGUGUAUGCAUAAAUAUGAACAUGUGCAUGUGUAUAAAGGCAUGGAUGUCAUUCUAUUCUAUCAACCUGAAUCUGUGCUCUCAAGUUUUUAACACAACUUCAGGCCAUCAGAUCAAAAGGUAAACUCCCCAGCGAGGACGGACAAGCCAGGGCGGGCUGGGCUGCGGAACCCGCACACACUGCUGGCUGCAUCUGGGGGGUACGGGAGGAGAACCUGCCCUGAUCAGCUGGAGCCCCGAGGGGCGAGAGCAAGGGGGUGUCUUUGGCUGCGGUCAUUACUCCCCUGACCACUGAGGCACCCCCAGUGGGACACAGAAAAAGGCAUCAGCUGCAGAUACGCUGGGUCCUCUCGUGGGUCCUCACACCCCACCCACGGUCCUUGCUCUCGUUUCCUGCCUGCCCUCCAGUCAGCAGCAGUUCUGGCUGCACCCGUGGAGUCGGGUUCCAAUGCAGCCACGGGGGGACCCCAAGGCACAGCUCUUGGUUAAGGUGACAGAUGGAUCGGCGAGUCACAUUUCUAUCCACUGUUACCUGGACUCUGUUGUGUUCACACUAUUUUUCUGCAUGGUUAGGGGUGCAGUUUCCACAAGAAAGCAGCCAAGACUUGUGUUGUGACGGUCCCUUGCCCUUACUAGCAAAUCACAUAAAAGAUGCCAAUAUUUUUAACUUUUUCCCCCAAAUUCCACACACCAUAACAUUAUGAGCCUUCCUCUCUGGUGCUGUGUUCUCCCUCUGACCAAAAAUCAAAGGAAGCGGGCGGGUGAGAGGGGCCCCGGGCUUGUCCUCUCACUCACUCCUCAGUUUCUGAGGAGUUCCCGAUAACCCAGAGGGAAGUGAGACGAGCAGGAGAAGUCAGUCUCGCUGGGAGCUGAAAUCAGGAGGGAAAGGCAGGGUGCAGAGGGUCCAGCCCUGCGGCCUUGAGGCUCCUGGGCCCCAGAGCCAUGGGAACCCAGGACCCUGCUGCUUUUGUUUACAGGCAUGGGGACAUUUGGAUCCAGUCUGACGCUCCCCUGCCAUCACUCUUCUUCCCAUAACUGGGCUCAUGUCACUCGCAGGCUUGGUUUGGAGCUGGUGUCAUCUUUUCACUUGAGAUACAAUUCACAUUCUAUAAAAUACACUGUUUAACUGAAACCCACUGUUUCUGUUUUUUAAGUAUAUUCACAAGGCUGUGCAAACAUCCCCACUAAAUAUAGAACAUUAUCAUCACUCCCAAAUAAUCCUAUACGCAUUAGCAGUCAUGCCCCGUGCCCCGCUCCCAGUCCCUGGCAACCACCAGUCUACUUCCUGUCUCUGCGGACUUGCCUAUUCUGGGCAUUUCAUAUGAACUGAAGUGCACAGCGCGUACCCUCUGCGUCAGGGUCCUGUCACUUACAGCUCUCAAGGCUCAUGGGCACAGGAGCAGGCAUUCAGCACUUCCAGUUUUUUAAUAGCUGAAUAUUCCAUUGUACGGAUAUGGCACAUGUUGUUUAUUCAUUUAUCAGUUUAUGGACAUUUGAGUUGUCCCCACCUUUUGAUUAUGAAAAAUCCUGCUAAAAACACUCAUGUAUACAUUUUUCUGUGAACAUGUUUUCAUUUCUGGAUCCAUCAGUAGGAAUGGGAAUCCAAUUACAUGUUAACUUUAUGCUUAUCUUUUUGAGAGACUGCCAAGAUGCCUUCCAACAUAGCUGCCCACGUACAUUCCUGCCUGCAGUGUAUGAGACUCCACUUUUUCCAUAUGCUCUCGUCAUCUGUCUUUAUUCUAGUCAUACUAGUGAUGGAAAAAUGGCCUCUCACUGUAGUUUUUAUUUGCAUUUCCAUAAUGACUGAAAUUUUGAGCAUCUUUUGUGUUAUUGGUCAUCUUUCUAUCUUCCUUGGAGAAAUAUCUAUUCAAAAAUCUUGUCUGCUUUUUUAAAAUUUGGUUUAUAAGAAUUCCUUGCACAUUCCGGACACUCCACUCCACUCUUCAGCUAUGGGAUUUGCAAUUACCCUCUCCCAGGUGUGGGCUGGCUUUCAGCUUUCCCAUCAGUGUUCCUGCGAGCACUUUCAUUUUGAUGAAGUCCAGUUUAACUUUUUGAUUGCACGUGCUUUUUCUAUCCUAAGAAACCAUUGCCUACUUAAAGGACACAAAUAUCUACAUCUGUGUUUUCUUCCAAGAGUUUUAUAAUGUAGCUCUUUCAUUUAGGUAUAUUAUCCAUUUGAGAUCUUUCUUGUUUAUGAUAUUAAGUCGGGGUACAAUUUCUUUCCUUUGCAAGUGGAUGCCCACGUGCUCCAGUACCAUUUGUUAACAAGACUGUUGUAUCUCCCACUGAAUAUUCUUGGCACCUUGUCAAAUCGAUCAUAAAUAUGGACUCAUUUCUGAACUCUCAAUUCUAUUCCAUUGAACUCUUAAGUCUAUUCUUAUGCCAGUACACAGAUCUUGAUUAA